rnacentral:tRNA from 1 species
GGAGAGGUGGCUGAGCUGGUCGAAGGCGCUCGACUCGAAAUCGAGUGACGGCGUGAAGCUGUCCGUGGGUUCGAAUCCCACCCUCUCCGCCA